rnacentral:rRNA from 1 species
AUGGCUCCCCCUACGCCGUCCUCGUCUCCGAUGCCGGUUAUGGACGCACGGAUGAGGCUGAUAAUCCAGGCAGCAGCACUGAUUAGUGUGAUUCAGGCAUGGGGCAUGUUCAUGCACCAGAGAGUUCAUCGUGCUGGGAGACCUUUGAUCCGCUAUGGUCCAUUGUUUCCCCGGGAACAGGAGAGGAUCCAAAAUUUGAACUACAUCUACAACUGCAAUGACGUCGAGGCUCUGUGGAUGCUUAGAAUGAAAAGAGCGGCAUUUGCCAGGCUUGUCGAGACCUUCAGGAGCAGGGGGCUGUUACAAGAUAGCAUCAACACCAGUGUCGAAGAGUAA